GAAGCCCUACGCCGCCGGUCAGAUCCAUAAGCCAAAAUCUUAUCCCCUUCUCUCCCGAAGGAUCCUACUCCAUCGAAGAUCCAAACGCUCUCACCCCUGCCUCACCAUCGCCCGCCUCCCUGCCGCCCUGCCGUGCCCCACCGUCGCCCGCCGCCCGCCUCCCCGCCUCAUUGCCGUGUCCCCUGUCGUCCCGUCUUGCCUGCCUCCUGGCCACCUGCCCUGUUCCCUGCCGCAUCCACUCCCUGCUGCGUCCCCCGCCCCACCGCCACCCUGCCUCCCCUCCGGCCCGCCAUGUGCCCAUGUCCCCCACCGACCCACGCCGCACUGCCCCUACCGUGCCCCCUCUUCUUCCCCUUCUCUAGUUCCAGCGCUCCAGCGGAACAAUGGCAUGACGGGCUUGGUGACCAUGGCCACGCCGGCCGGGAUGACGUCGCCGCGCCGUCCAUGUUGACCUUGUCGCGCCUGCUGGUCGGAAGACUAUCAGAUUUACCCGGCGUUGUACCCCCUGUUCUCCAACAGGCUAGAAGGGCUAGAUGAUCAGUCCAGCAAUGGGUGUCAGGCAUGGUUUGAUACAUAUGCAGACGAGACAUCUGAAAAACUGAGAUCAGGUUAGCACAAAUCAUUUGUACCAUCAGACACUUAAGUUAUACUAUAACGACUACUUUUUUGGUUUGUUUGCACAAAGGAAACCAUUAGUUGUUCGCACUUUAUUUAUCAUUGAGUUAUCUUAUUUAUCUACAAGAACAUGUUCUUAUGGGUGUCAUAGUCUGAUGGUCGAUGUAUACUAUCAUGUAAUGCAAGGGGCGAAGCCAGCAAUCUGGCGUGGUUUGGCGUCCGCCAUACGUAAAAUUUGCUGCAAAGUCUAUGUAUAUAUACCGCUAAAAUCUUAUACACCACGCAUAUGAAAAUUUGAGCUAAGACGUGCCUCCAUGCGGGGCCUGAUUGAUGAUGGGUCGUGGCUUGAUGUAGUGGACUUGUAGGUUGUAACUUGAUUGCACGUCAGCACAUUAGUAAAACUAGCGAUUACUCCGGCCAAACCCUCGUGAUUAGGAGGAUUGCUCCUCUAAACACGACAGUGCGCGAAGGCGGUGGGGCAUGGCCUGACGGAUGCUGGACACAUGGGGACCGUGGCACUGCUUCUGCGAGGCGAGUUUGCGACUAGCAAGGCCGCGAGGGUCAGUAUGCUAUACGCAGAUGGUGGCAAAGAAAAGCAAGUGCGUACUAUAAUGAAAGGUAAUUGUUGUGGUCGAGUGAAAUAUGCUCUGCUAUUCAAUCUGUUCUAGUGCACUUCCAUUGUUGAAUGACCAAUUGAUUCGGUUCUGCUUGUAAUUUUGUUAUACAUAUUUAAGUAGCAGUUUUGCCAAGCAAGUCUCACUGAAGCCAGUCUAACUUUGGAUGUAGUUGCUGGACAACGACAAGAGGAAUGUCAUUGCCAUAUUCUGUUAAGAAAGUAAAGCUUCAUUAUGGGUUUAUGACUACGUAUUCUUUAUCGAUCUUCACUAUGAUUUUAUCCUACUAGUUACCAAUUAAUGAUUUAUCUAUAGUUUAUAUGUCUUAUAGAUCAUCUUUAUGCCUAUCUCGUUAAUAUACAUGAUAAAUUAUGGAUCGGUCAUCCAUCUGGUGACAUAUGUUGAGUGCGAACACUUAAAUUUUGGAUUUUGGUUAUAUUCUCAGAACACAAAGUAAUAUAUGUCUACUAUAGUGAGCUCUUGCAUAAUUACAUGAUAUAUGAUUUGCUCCAUCAUAAACCCCACCAUGCGUUCUGCCUUCGCCACUGAAUAUGCAUGCUCUUACACAAAGACGAUUCUUGAGGUGAUGCUAUGUAAGUUUGAGCUUAUCAACAUACUUGCCAGCCUUUGAAACUAACUAGUUGGUGUAUCCCUAUCCAUUUGCAGACUUUAGCAGCUAAACAAGGAGUGUCUAUCAACAAAAUUCCACCACCUCCAGUUCCACCAAGUGCUUGUUCGGCCGCUCUUGUAGAUUUUGGAAACAAGCACAGAACUGCAAACUUUGUGUGCUCGGCAACAUGUAGAACAUCAAGUCUGUUUGAAGACCAACUUUUGGGUGAAUGCGUUGAUAACAUAUUGCUACAAGUUUUAGUAGUAGUAGUAGAUACUUGUCUUGACCAUUAAUGCUUGUAUGUGCUGAUUUAGGUAUUCUGCUAGCUGUAGCAAUUUUUUUGAAUUUUGGUUCUAAACCGACCUUGUAUCUCGUUUCAAACUGACCUUGGGUCUGAUGUAUGUGUGUCAUUUGAACAUGAAUCUGAUGUGUACAUUGAAUUA